rnacentral:rRNA from 1 species
AUAAUUCCCGUUGAUCCUGCGGGAGAUUGCUGCUAUGGGAGUUCGACUAAGCCAUGCAAGUCAGAGGGUCUCUUCGGAGACACAGGCGGAAUGCUCAGUAACACGUCAAUAAUCUGCCCUUAGGUUUGGGACAGCCUCGGGAAACUGAGGGUAAACCCAAAUAGGUAAGAAGUACUGGAAUGUCUUUUUACUUAAAGGCAACGCCUAAGGAUGAGUUGGCGGCUGAUUAGUUUGUUGGUAGUGUAAAGGACUACCAAGACUACGAUCAGUACGGGCCUUGAGAGAGGGAGCCCGGAGAGGGGUACUUAGACACUGACCCCAGCCCUACGGGGUGCAGCAGGCGCGAAACCUUUACAAUGUACGGAAGUGCGAUAAGGGAACUCCUAGUGCUCAUGCUUCGGUAUGGGCUUUUGCCAAGAGUAAAUAUCUUGGCGAAUAAGUGGUGGGUAAGACGGGUGCCAGCCGCCGCGGUAACACCUGCGCCACGAGUGGCAAUCACGUUUAUUGGGCCUAAAGCGUUCGUAGCCGGAUUAAUCAGUCUUAAGUGAAAUCGUUGCGCUCAACAAAACGGCGUGCUUGAGAUACUGUUAGUCUAGGGACCGGGAGGCGUUAGAGGUAUUCCUGAGGGAGCGGUAAAAUGCUAUAAUCUCAGGAGGACCACCUGUGGCGAAGGCGUCUAACGAGAACGGGUCCGACGGUGAGGAACGAAAGCUAGGGGAGCAAACCGGAUUAGAUACCCGAGUAGUCCUAGCCGUAAACGCUGUGUACUAGAUGUUGCAUAAUCUAUAUGGUUGUGCAUUGUCGGAGCGAAGGCGUUAAGUACACCGCCUGGGAAGUACGGUCGCAAGGCUGAAACUUAAAGGAAUUGGCGGGGGAGCACCACAAGGGGUGCGGCGUGCGGUUUAAUCUAACUCCACGCAGAGAAUCUCACCAGCAGCGACGGCAGAAUGAAGGUCAGUCUGAAGGGCUUACCUGACGAGCCGAGAGGUAGUGCAUGGCCGUCGUCAGCUCGUGCCGUAAGGUGUCCUCUUAAGUGAGGUAACGAGCGAGACCCAUACCCUUAAUUGCUAGCAUGUCCUUUUGGAUGAAUGAGCACAUUAAGGGGACUGCCCUGGAAACGGGGAGGAAGGUGUGGGCAACGGUAGGUCUGUAUGCUCCGAAUCUGCUGGGCUACACGCGCGCAACAAUGGCGAGGACAAUGGGAUGCCACACCGAAAGGUGAAGCUAAACCUCGAAACCUCGUCCUAGUCUAGAUUGAGGAUUGUAACUCAUCCUCAUGACAACGGAAUCCCUAGUAAUCGGGUUUCAUCACGACCCGGUGAAUAUGUCCCUGCUCUUUGCACACACCGCCCGUCAAACCAACCGAGUUGGGUUUGGGUGAGAUGCAGCUUUCAGUUGUAUCAAACUUAGAUUCGGUGAGGUGGGUUAAGUCGUCACAAGGUAGCCGUAGGGGAACCUACGGCUGGAUCACCUCCUU